UUUAGUUUUGCUGUUUCACCCUCUCCCAUGUGGGGGCGUUUUUCAGCUAAAGCCACUGACAAAACUCUGUAAAAGAUCAUCAGAAGAUACAAGUGCUGCCUUUGAUUCACAUGAAGAGCCAAGAUGAGCAUUGUUCUGCUUACUGUAACUGCAUUAUUCAUCAGCGAUAUCGGAAGGUCUUCUGCAGCUAAAGAUGUUCACCAGACUCCUCCUGAUUUAAUCAAGAAUAUACAGGAAUCUACGGAUCUUUCCUGUUCUCACUCCAUACCAAACCAUGAGUUCAUGCUGUGGUACAAACGAUCUGAAAACAAACAAUUACAGCUUCUUGGAUAUCUAAAUUCAAAGUUCCCAUAUCCUGAAGAUUCCCUGAAAGCCAAAAUCGAGUUGCAUGGAGAUGGAAACAAUGAAGGGAAACUUACCAUCAAAAAUCUGCAGCCAGAUGACAGUGCAGUUUAUUUCUGUGCAGUGAGAUUAGACACAGUGCUACAGGACUCUGUGAUCUAUGACAAAAACCUCCUCCUUCAGAGCAGCACAAAUCUUCCACAUGCUGUAUGCUUUCAAACUACAUGUUUACUGAAGAUAUGAUCAUAUCAGCCUUUUGUACAGGUUCUGUAAUUUGUUUCCUG